rnacentral:tRNA from 1 species
GAGGGUAUAGCUCAGUGGUAGAGCUUGUGCUUAGCAUGCACAAGGUCCUGGGUUCAAUACCCAGUACCUCA